rnacentral:rRNA from 1 species
UACGGAGUGCCCAAGCGUUAUCCGGAAUUAUUGGGCGUAAGGGUGUGUAGGUGGUUUGUUAGUCGUUCUGUUAAAUGACCUCCCGGCGUUAAACCGGGGAAAGUUGCAGAGGAAACGGCAAGACUUAGAGGAUGUGAGGGGUCUAUGGAACUCGAUGGUGUAGGGUGAAAUCCGUUGAAUAUCAUGGGAACACCAAAGCGA